AGUCAAGUAGCUCAGUUGGUUAGAGCACUGUCCCCAGAUGGCAGGGACCUGGGUUCAAUUCCCAGCUUGGUCA
rnacentral:tRNA from 1 species